UCGACGAUGAAUCCCAGCUUGCUGGGUGGAUUAGUGGAGAACGGGUCACUAACAAGUGAGUAACCUUGCCCGUAACUCUGGGAUAAGCCUGGGAAACUGGGUCUAAUACCGGAUAGGAGUGUCCACCGCAUGGUGGGUGUUGGAAAUAUUG
rnacentral:rRNA from 1 species